AGUGAACGCUGGCGGUAGGCCUAACACAUGCAAGUCGAACGGCAGCACAGUAAGAGCUUGCUCUUACGGGUGGCGAGUGGCGGACGGGUGAGGAAUACAUCGGAAUCUACUUUUUCGUGGGGGAUAACGUAGGGAAACUUACGCUAAUACCGCAUACGACCUACGGGUGAAAGCAGGGGAUCUUCGGACCUUGCGCGAUUGAAUGAGCCGAUGUCGGAUUAGCUAGUUGGCGGGGUAAAGGCCCACCAAGGCGACGAUCCGUAGCUGGUCUGAGAGGAUGAUCAGCCACACCGGAACUGAGACACGGUCCAGACUCCUACGGGAGGCAGCAGUGGGGAAUAUUGGACAAAGGGCGCAAGCCUGAUCCAGCCAUACCGCGUGGGUGAAGAAGGCCUUCGGGUUGUAAAGCCCUUUUGUUGGGAAAGAAAAGCAGCAGGUUAAUACCCCGCUGUUCUGACGGUACCCAAAGAAUAAGCACCGGCUAACUUCGUG
rnacentral:rRNA from 1 species